UGAGGAAUAUUGGGCAAUGGAGGCAACUCUGACCCAGCUAUGCCGCGUGAAGGAUGAAGGUCCUCUGGAUUGUAAACUUCUUUUGUAUGGGGAUAAACUUUUCUACGUGUAGAAAACUGAAGGUACCAUACGAAUAAGGAUCGGCUAACUCCGUGCCAGCAGCCGCGGUAAUACGGAGGAUCCAAGCGUUAUCCGGAUUUAUUGGGUUUAAAGGGUCCGUAGGCGGGUCUUUAAGUCAGUGGUGAAAGCCUGCAGCUUAACUGUGGAAAUGCCAUUGAUACUGGAGGCCUUGAGUGUAGUAGAAGUAGGCGGAAUAGGGCAUGUAGCGGUGAAAUGCAUAGAUAUGCCCUAGAACACCGAUUGCGAAGGCAGCUUACUAUGUUACAACUGACGCUGAGGGACGAAAGCGUGGGGAGCAAACAGG
rnacentral:rRNA from 1 species